rnacentral:rRNA from 1 species
AACGAACGCUGGCGGCAGGCCUAACACAUGCAAGUCGAACGACCCGUUCGGGGUGUGGCGCACGGGUGAGUAACGCGUGUGGAAAUAUGCUUUUCUACGCGGUAGCUCUGGGGGACAGGUAUUCUUAUACUGUACGCGCUCCGGGGGAAAGAUUUAUCGGGUCAGGAUGGGCCCGCGCUGGUUAUGCACUUGGGUGGGGUAAUGGCCUACCAAGGCGACGAUCCGUAGCUGGUCUGAGAGGAUGAUCAGCCACAUUGGGACUGAGACACGGCCCAAACUCCUACGGGAGGCAGCAGUGGGGAAUAUUGCGCAAUGGGCGCAAGCCUGAUCCAGCCAUGCCGCGUGAAUGAUGAAGGCCUUAGGAUUGUAAAGCUCUUUCACCGAUGAAGAUAAUGACGGUACUCGGAGAAGAAGCCCCGGCUAACUUCGUG